GGAGAGGAUGACAGCCAACGACUGCUUGAAACAUCCAUGGUUGAGGAAAGAUAAAAAGAUGGAAGAAACCCAUUUGGAUAAAACAAGGUUGAAAAGGUUCGUGAUUCGUCGAAGGUGGCAGAAAGCUGUGAAUGCAUUUUUAGCCUUGAGAAGGAUGGGAGCAGUUAUGAAACUCUAAACUUAUCUACGAUUCGUCAGCUUUUAAUGGCUUUGGAUGUGCACCCAAGUGGAACCCAUUGUGAUCCAAAAACCCCGGUUGUUUAUGAUGAAUUUACCUUUAUUGGCCGAAACCAAAUCUGCAAGAAUAUGCUCUUGAAAAAUAAACAGAUAAUUAAAAAAAUAUAUAUUAAGAUUCAGGAGAAUUUUCAGAAAUUGACAUUUGUUUUUUCUCUUACAUGUAGCUAAACUAUAUGUGUAUGUGUUAUUUUUUAUUCUCGGAUUUCCGAAUUUAAGAAAGCUACUUUUGCUACGCUAAAAGUAACACGUAACACAUUCUUUAAAAAAAUAUUAGGAUAUUAAACACUAUGUUGUUAGCGUUUUUUAUAAGUUCGUAUUAACACCUAAGACUAAUUUUUGAUUAACAGUGUCAAUCUAGUGAUUAUUUUCUAUAUCUAUAAAUAACCUGUUGACGAAAUUACUGUAUACAGUGGUAGAUAGACAUAGUUGACUAUUCACAUGUGGAAUAUUAUAAACAUUAACCAUAUUAAAAGUAGUUUUAACUGUAUUUUUUUAAUUAUUCGUCAUCGCUUAACAUCUAUUGAGUUUUGGGAUAGUUUAUUUAGCUUUAGCGUUGCAUUACCAUUAUUUUUCAGCCAGAUAACGGAGAUCCAUUCCUUUUUAACUCUUUGUGCCUUUUUUUUUUAUCGUGUAAAUGAGUUUGAAUACAAUUGUAUUUAUCUUGUAUUAUAUUUAUGAGAAUGCUUAAUGGUUGUUUAAAAGAAUGUCGUAAAAAAUGUGAAUCUUGUAAUCAUAUUUUAAUUGGAAGAAUGAUGAAAUGAAACGUCUACAUUUGAAGUUAUCUGUCUUUAAUUUCUAUCUCUAGUAAAAUUUAUUGUUGCAAAAAAAACGAAUAAACAAUUGUAUUAGUAGAUGUUAUCAUUUUAGUCUUUUUUAUUUAAUUGUCAAAUUUGUUUAGAAAAAUCAUAGUAUAAAGUCAAAUCUACAAACUGAUAACAAAUACUUGUAAUUUAGUUCCUUAUUCAGACUAAACUAAUCCAUUAUUUUUUUGUAUUUUCUCGUGUAUAAUGAAAAUGAUUUAUAUUCUACUAUAUAUCAUUAGAUGAAAAUGAAUAUGAAGCUCUGAUUUAAAAUCUAAUAGAUUAGUAAUGUACAAAAACAAUUAAUAUAUUUUUUAAAUGAUCUUUGUUUCUGUUGUAAGUUUUCAUUCCGCGCCUCUCUCCAUCCAUAAUCUUGUACAGAGUGUUACUCAAUAAUCUUUGUGUUGA